rnacentral:rRNA from 1 species
UUUAUAGCCUCUGGCUAUAGGAAAUUGUUAGUGGCAGACGGGUGAGUAAUGCGUAGGAAUCUACCUAGUAGUACGGAAUAGCCAUUAGAAAUGGUGGGUAAUACUGUAUAAUCCCCGAGGGGGAAAGAUUUAUCGCUAUUAGAUGAGCCUACGUUAGAUUAGCUAGUUGGUGAGGUAAUGGCUUACCAAGGCUAUGAUCUAUAGCUGGUCUGAGAGGACGAUCAGCCACACUGGAACUGAGAUACGGUCCAGACUCCUACGGGAGGCAGCAGUGGGGAAUAUUGGACAAUGGGCGAAAGCCUGAUCCAGCUAUGCCGCGUGAGCGAAGAAGGCCUUCGGGUUGUAAAACUCUUUCAAUAGGGAAGAUAAUGACGGUACCUAUAGAAGAAGUCCCGGCAAACUCUGUGCCAGCAGCCGCGGUAAUACGGAGGGGGCAAGCGUUGCUCGGAAUUAUUGGGCGUAAAGGGCACGUAGGUGGACUAGUAAGUUAAAAGUG